rnacentral:lncRNA from 1 species
UGGAAACCAAGACCACCAUUCAGUAAAAGCUCAAGAAAAAGAUUACUUAUCAGCUACAAUCCUUCACACAGAAAUAUCUUUGUUCUUCUGUCACAUUUGUUAAGAUUCAUUCUAUGGGGUCUGAAAGCAGCAAGCAAUGGAAAAGACCUAUUUUAGGGCAUCUCAUCUGUCACCUGGAAACAAAGUUUUCUCCACAUAUAGGGCCUGCAAUCCAUUCUGGAGAAGCAAAUAAUGAAAUAACCUAACAUGACAAACCCAUGGCCUACUCCAGUUCACUGACCAAGGGUAAACAGCAGAAGUGGAGAGAAAACAGUUUUCCACUGGGAAAGAAACCAAAACACAUCUUUGGAAAAAUGUCUUUAGAAGAAAAUAAAAACAUAGAAUCUUUAACA